GUGCUUGCACCUCUUGAGAGCGGCGGACGGGUGAGUAAUGCCUAGGAAUCUGCCUGGUAGUGGGGGAUAACGCUCGGAAACGGACGCUAAUACCGCAUACGUCCUACGGGAGAAAGCAGGGGACCUUCGGGCCUUGCGCUAUCAGAUGAGCCUAGGUCGGAUUAGCUAGUUGGUGAGGUAAUGGCUCACCAAGGCGACGAUCCGUAACUGGUCUGAGAGGAUGAUCAGUCACACUGGAACUGAGACACGGUCCAGACUCCUACGGGAGGCAGCAGUGGGGAAUAUUGGACAAUGGGCGAAAGCCUGAUCCAGCCAUGCCGCGUGUGUGAAGAAGGUCUUCGGAUUGUAAAGCACUUUAAGUUGGGAGGAAGGGCAGUUACCUAAUACGUAAUUGUUUUGACGUUACCGACAGAAUAAGCACCGGCUAACUCUGUGCCAGCAGCCGCGGUAAUACAGAGGGUGCAAGCGUUAAUCGGAAUUACUGGGCGUAAAGCGCGCGUAGGUGGUUCGUUAAGUUGGAUGUGAAAGCCCCGGGCUCAACCUGGGAACUGCAUUCAAAACUGUCGAGCUAGAGUAUGGUAGAGGGUGGUGGAAUUUCCUGUGUAGCGGUGAAAUGGUAGAUAUAGGAAGGAACACCAGUGGCGAAGGCGACCACCUGGACUGAUACUGACACUGAGGUGCGAAAGCGUGGGAGCAAACAGGAUUAGAUACCCUGGUAGUCCACGCCGUAAACGAUGUCAACUAGCCGUUGGGAGCCUUGAGCUCUUAGUGGCGCAGCUAACGCAUUAAGUUGACCGCCUGGGGAGUACGGCCGCAAGGUUAAAACUCAAAUGAAUUGACGGGGGCCCGCACAAGCGGUGGAGCAUGUGGUUU
rnacentral:rRNA from 2 species